UACGGGGGGGGCAAGCGUUGUUCGGAAUUACUGGGCGUAAAGGGCUCGUAGGUGGCCAACUAAGUCAGACGUGAAAUCCCUCGGCUUAACCGGGGAACUGCGUCUGAUACUGGAUGGCUUGAGUUUGGGAGAGGGAUGCGGAAUUCCAGGUGUAGCGGUGAAAUGCGUAGAUAUCUGGAGGAACACCGGUGGCGAAGGCGGCGACCUGGUCCGAUACUGACGCUGAGGCGCGAAAGCGUGGGGAGCAAACAGG
rnacentral:rRNA from 1 species